AUCUGAUGUUGAGGGCAUUUUAUGCACAACUUCUUAAACCUCUCCCAAUACUCAUAGAGAGACUUGCCUGAGUAUUGUUUGAUACCACAUAUCUCUUUUCUUAGGCU